AACGAACGCUGGCGGCGCGCCUAAUACAUGCAAGUCGAGCGAGAAGACGUAGCAAUACGUUUGUAAAGCGGCGAACGGGUGAGGAAUACAUGGGUAACCUACCCUCGAGUGGGGAAUAACUAGCCGAAAGGUUAGCUAAUACCGCGUACGCUCCUUGGACUUCGGUUCAGGGAGGAAAGCGAUACCGUGGGUAUCGCGCUCUUGGAUGGGCUCAUGUCCUAUCAGCUUGUUGGUGAGGUAACGGCUCACCAAGGCCUCGACGGGUAGCUGGUCUGAGAGGACGAUCAGCCACACUGGCACUGCGACACGGGCCAGACUCCUACGGGAGGCAGCAGUAAGGAAUAUUGCGCAAUGGGCGAAAGCCUGACGCAGCGACGCCGCGUGGGGGAUGAAGGUCUUCGGAUUGUAAACCCCUUUCGGGAGGGAAGAUGGAACGAGCAAUCGUUCGGACGGUACCUCCAGAAGCAGCCACGGCUAACUUCGUGCCAGCAGCCGCAGUAAU
rnacentral:rRNA from 1 species